UUUAACCAAAGCUGAACAUAUGUCUGAGUACCGGGGGCACAGGCAGAAGUGUGAUGGCUCAAUCAGAAUCUAAAGAGAGUCAGAUUUGAGAAGAACACACAGGAACAAGGAUUUGUGGAUUGAUGACAGCAUCCCACUGACAGGCUGAGGUACAGGAAGACUUGCUAAAAGCCAAGUGGAGCUUUCACCAGGAGAAGAAUAGGAAGAGAUCCUGCCAGCAUCCAGCCAUUCAGGACUGAUCCUUUCACCAGACCGGACAGUUCAGGCAAUGUUUGCUCCUCAGAAUCCCACCCAGAGCAGUGGGUGUUCCUCCAUGGCCUGGCAUCUGCCCACCACUGGCCAAGUUCUGUGCAGUAACUGCCUGAGCAGGACUCCAAAGCCUUGGUCAGGUGGGAUGCUUUGUAACUAAAAUAAUAAUAAUGAAUGACUACUCUAUCAGGCAUGACCUAGGAGUCACAACUCCAGUCCUGGACCUAUAAAUGGUGUCACUAACAAAUCUGUAUUGGGAAAAUACUGAAAUCCUGCAUGCUGCCAUGGAAUGUGGGCACAUCAUCCACCCACGUGGAUGUCAGGGACACCGUGAAGGACUUUCUGCCAAAGGGCAUGAAGAACAAAGGCCUAUUGCCUGCUGCCAUAGAAGGGAAAACCCAACAGCCUAAGCCUCAUAAACUGACAGGCCACCAAGAUCCAAAUAAAAUUCAAGAAGUCUAUCCAAAAUCAAAUCUACCAAACAAUGUCUUGGAAAUAUUUUGAUUUUUCAGUGCUAAAGAAAUAUGCCAUGAAC